CGAAGGGCGUAGCGUUGCUCGGAAUCACUGGGCGUAAAGGGCGCGUAGGCGGCGUUUAAGUCGGGGUGAAAGCCUGUGGCUCAACCACAGAAUGGCCUUCGAUACUGGGACGCUUGAGUAUGGUAGAGGUUGGUGGAACUGCGAGUGUAGAGGUGAAAUUCGUAGAUAUUCGCAAGAACACCGGUGCGAAGCGGCCAACUGGACCAUUACUGACGCUGAGGCGCGAAAAGCGUGGGGAGCAAACAGGAUU
rnacentral:rRNA from 1 species